rnacentral:rRNA from 1 species
AGCAGCCGCGGUAAUUCCAGCUCCAAUAGCGUAUAUUAAAGUUGUUGCAGUUAAAAAGCUCGUAGUUGAAUUUCAGGCCUGGCUGGGCGGUCCGCCUUUUGGGUGAGUACUGCCUGUGGUCGGGUCCUACCUUCUGGCGAAGCGUCAUGGCCUUAACCGGCCGUGGCGGGGAACCAGGACUUUUACUGUGAAAAAUUAGAGUGUUCAAAGCAGGCAUUCGCUUGGAUACAUUAGCAUGGAAUAAUGGAAUAGGACAGUGGUUCUAUUUGUUGGUUUCUAGGACCGUUGUAAUGAUUAAUAGGGAUAGUUGGGGGCAUUAGUAUUCAAUUGUCAGAGGUGAAAUUCUUGGAUUUAUUGAAGACUAACUACUGCGAAAGCAUUUGCCAAGGAUGUUUUCAUUAAUCAAGAACGAAAGUUAGGGGAUCGAAGACGAUCAGAUACCGUCGUAGUCUUAACCAUAAACUAUGCCGACUAGGAAUCGGGCGAUGUUGACAAAAUGACGCGCUCGGCACCUCAUAC